rnacentral:rRNA from 1 species
AGGACGAACGCUGGCGGCGUGCUUAACACAUGCAAGUCGAGCGGAAAGGCCCUUCGGGGUACUCGAGCGGCGAACGGGUGAGUAACACGUGAGUAAUCUGCCCCUAGCUCUGGGAUAGCUCCGGGAAAACCGGGAUUAAUACCAGAUACGACCACUUUAGACAUCUGUUGUGGUGGAAAGAAUUUUGGCUAGGGAUGAGCUCGCGGCCUAUCAGCUUGUUGGUGAGGUAACGGCUCACCAAGGCGACGACGGGUAGCCGGCCUGAGAGGGCGACCGGCCACACUGGGACUGAGACACGGCCCAGACUCCUACGGGAGGCAGCAGUGGGGAAUAUUGCGCAAUGGGCGAAAGCCUGACGCAGCGACGCCGCGUGGGGGAUGAAGGCCUUCGGGUUGUAAACCCUUUCAGCAGGGACGAAGCGAAGUGACGGUACCUGCAGAAGAAGCGCCGGCUAACUACGUGCCAGCAGCCGC